AGGGUUUGAUCCUGGCUCAGAGUGAACGCUGGCGGCGUGGUCUAGGCAUGCAAGUCGAACGCGAAAGCCCUUCGGGGUGAGUAGAGUGGCGAAAGGGUGAGUAAUGCAUGGGUAACGUACCCCUCGGAUUGGGAUAGCAGCUGGAAACGGCUGGUAAUACCAGAUGGUCAGCUCGGGUCGCAUGACCUGAGUUGUAAACGGUAGCUUUGCUUCUGCCGAGGGAGCGGCCCAUGUCCUAUUAGCUUGUUGGUGAGGUUACGGCUCACCAAGGCUUUGAUGGGUAGCCGGACUGAGAGGUUGGCCGGUCACACUGGGACUGAGACACUGCCCAGACUCCUACGGGAGGCUGCAGUCGAGAAUCUUCCGCAAUGGACGCAAGUCUGACGGGGCGACGCCGCGUGUAGGAUGAAGGCCUUCGGGUUGUAAACUACUGUUGAGUGUGAGGAAUGCCACUGGGUUAAUAGCCUUGGUGGUUGACCAGCAUUCGAGGAAGCACUGGCUAACUCCGUGCCAGCAGCCGCGGUAAUACGGAGAGCGCAAGCGUUACUCGGAAUCACUGGGCAUAAAGAGCACGUAGGCGGGAUGGUGUGUCGGUGGUGAAAGCCCUCUGCUCAACGGAGGAAUUGCCGUCGAAACUGCCAUUCUCGAGUGCGAGAGGGGAGAGGAGAACUUCCGGUGGAGCGGUGAAAUGCGUAGAUAUCGGAAGGAAUACCGGUGGCGAAAGCGCCUCUCUGGCUCGCAACUGACGCUGAGGUGCGAAAGCGUGGGUAGCAAACGGGAUUAGAUACCCCGGUAGUCCACGCCGUAAACGAUGGGUACUAGGCAGAGGGAGUCCUAUGCUUUCUUUGCUGGAGCUAAUGUUUUAAGUACCCCGCCUGGGGAGUACAGUCGCAAGGCCGAAACUCAAAGGAAUUGACGGGGGCUCACACAAGCGGUGGAGCAUGUGGUUUAAUUCGAAUCAACGCGCAGAACCUUACCUAGAUUUGACAUGAUUGGAUUAGCUUGGUGAAAGUCAAGUGACGCCCGCGAGGGUGGAACGAUCACAGGUGCUGCAUGGCUGUCGUCAGCUCGUGUCGUGAGAUGUCGGGUUAAGUCCCUUAACGAGCGAAACCCCUACUACCAGUUGCCAGCGGAUAAUGCCGGGGACUCUGGUGGGACUGCCGUAGUUAAUACGGAGGAAGGUGGGGAUGACGUCAAGUCCUCAUGGCCUUUAUAUCUAGGGCUACACACGUGCUACAAUGGUCGGGACAGAGCGAAGCGAAGUCGCAAGGCGGAGCUAAUCGCACAAACCCGGCCCCAGUACGGAUUGUGGGCUGCAAUUCGCCCGCAUGAAGCUGGAAUCGCUAGUAAUCGCGGAUCAGAACUGCCGCGGUGAAUAUGUUCCUGAGCCUUGUACACACCGCCCGUCAAGCCACGGGAGCCGGUAGUGCCCGAAGUCGUUGACCCAACCCGCAAGGGAGGGAGGCGCCGACGGUAAGACCGGUGACUGGGAUUAAGUCGUAACAAGGUA
rnacentral:rRNA from 1 species